UCGGUGUGUGCAAGGAGGAAACUUAAAGGAAUUGGCGGGGGAGCACCGCAACGGGAGGAGCGUGCGGUUUAAUUGGAUUCAACACCGGAAAACUCACCAGGGGAGACUGUUACAUGAAACCCAGACUAAUGAUUUUGGUUGAUUUUCGGAGAGGUGGUGCAUGGCCGUCGUCAGUUCGUACCGUAAGGCGCUCUCUUAAGUGAGAUAACGAACGAGACCCUCACCUUUAAUUGCUAGUCUCUUCUCCGGAGGAGGCGCACAUUAAAGGGACCGCUGGCGCUAAGUCAGAGGAAGGAGAGGUCAACGGUAGGUCCGUAUGCCCUGAAUCUCUUGGGCUACACGCGCGCUACAAAGGGCGGGACAAUGAGUUCCGACACCGAAAGGUGCAGGUAAUCUCGAAACCCUGUCCGUAGUUCGGACUGAGGGUUGUAACUCACCCUCCCGAAGCUGGAUUCCGUAGUAAUCGCCGAAUCAACGACUCGCGGUGAAAUGUCCCUGCUCCUUGCACACACCGA
rnacentral:rRNA from 1 species